GUAAUUCCGGUGAAGAUGCCGGAUACCUGCGACAGGACGGAAAGACCCCAUGGAGCUUUACUGUAGCUUGACAUUGGGUCUUGGUACUACAUGUACAGGAUAGGUGGGAGGCUUUGAAACCAGGACGCCAGUUUUGGCGGAGCCAUCCUUGGGAUACCACCCUUGUAGUACUGGGACUCUAACCAUAGGCCAUGAAUCUGGUCUUGGGACAAGAGAAGGGGGGCAGGUGGACUGGGGCGGUCGCCUCCCAAAAGGUAACGGAGGCGCUCAAAGGUUCUCUCAGUACGGUCGGAAAUCGUACGUAGAGUGUAAAGGCAAAAGAGAGCUUGAUUGCAAGACAUACAGGUCGAGCAAGGAUGAAAAUCGGACUUAGUGAUCCGGUG
rnacentral:rRNA from 1 species